rnacentral:rRNA from 1 species
AUUGAACGCUGGCGGCAGGCCUAACACAUGCAAGUCGAGCGGAUGAAGGGAGCUUGCUCCUGGAUUCAGCGGCGGACGGGUGAGUAAUGCCUAGGAAUCUGCCUGGUAUUGGGGGAUAACGUCCGGAAACGGGCGCUAAUACCGCAUACGUCCUGAGGGAGAAAGUGGGGGAUCUUCGGACCUCACGCUAUCAGAUGAGCCUAGGUCGGAUUAGCUAGUUGGUAGGGUAAAGGCCUACCAAGGCGACGAUCCGUAACUGGUCUGAGAGGAUGAUCAGUCACACUGGAACUGAGACACGGUCCAGACUCCUACGGGAGGCAGCAGUGGGGAAUAUUGGGCAAUGGGCGAAAGCCUGAUCCAGCCAUGCCGCGUGUGUGAAGAAGGUCUUCGGAUUGUAAAGCACUUUAAGUUGGGAGGAAGGGCAGUAAGUUAAUACCUUGCUGUUUUGACGUUACCAACAGAAUAAGCACCGGCUAACUUCGUG